rnacentral:rRNA from 1 species
UUAAGCGACUAAGCGUACACGGUGGAUGCCCUGGCAGUCAGAGGCGAUGAAGGACGUGCUAAUCUGCGAAAAGCGUCGGUAAGGUGAUAUGAACCGUUAUAACCGGCGAUGUCCGAAUGGGGAAACCCAGUGCAAUUCGUUGCACUAUCGUUAACUGAAUACAUAGGUUAACGAGGCGAACCGGGGGAACUGAAACAUCUAAGUACCCCGAGGAAAAGAAAUCAACCGAGAUUCCCCCAGUAGCGGCGAGCGAACGGGGAGCAGCCCAGAGUCUGAAUCAGCUUGUGUGUUAGUGGAACGGUCUGGAAAGUCCGACGGUACAGGGUGAUAGUCCCGUACACCAAAAUGCACAGGCUGUGAACUCGAAGAGUAGGGCGGGACACGUGGUAUCCUGUCUGAAUAUGGGGGGACCAUCCUCCAAGGCUAAAUACUCCUGACUGACCGAUAGUGAACCAGUACCGUGAGGGAAAGGCGAAAAGAACCCCGGCGAGGGGAGUGAAAAAGAACCUGAAACCGUGUACGUACAAGCAGUGGGAGCACCUUCGGGUGUGACUGCGUACCUUUUGUAUAAUGGGUCAGCGACUUAUAUUCUGUAGCAAGGUUAACCGUAUAGGGGAGCCGCAGGGAAACCGAGUCUUAACUGGGCGUUAAGUUGCAGGGUAUAGACCCGAAACCCGGUGAUCUAGCCAUGGGCAGGUUGAAGGUUGGGUAACACUAACUGGAGGACCGAACCGACUAAUGUUGAAAAAUUAGCGGAUGACUUGUGGCUGGGGGUGAAAGGCCAAUCAAACCGGGAGAUAGCUGGUUCUCCCCGAAAGCUAUUUAGGUAGCGCCUCGUGAAUUCAUCUUCGGGGGUAGAGCACUGUUUCGGCUAGGGGGUCAUCCCGACUUACCAACCCGAUGCAAACUACGAAUACCGAAGAAUGUUAUCACGGGAGACACACGGCGGGUGCUAACGUCCGUCGUGAAGAGGGAAACAACCCAGACCGCCAGCUAAGGUCCCAAAGUCAUGGUUAAGUGGGAAACGAUGUGGGAAGGCACAGACAGCCAGGAUGUUGGCUUAGAAGCAGCCAUCAUUUAAAGAAAGCGUAAUAGCUCACUGGUCGAGUCGGCCUGCGCGGAAGAUGUAACGGGGCUAAACCAUGCACCGAAGCUGCGGCAGCGACACUAUGUGUUGUUGGGUAGGGGAGCGUUCUGUAAGCCUGCGAAGGUGACCUGUGAGGGUUGCUGGAGGUAUCAGAAGUGCGAAUGCUGACAUAAGUAACGAUAAAGCGGGUGAAAAGCCCGCUCGCCGGAAGACCAAGGGUUCCUGUCCAACGUUAAUCGGGGCAGGGUGAGUCGACCCCUAAGGCGAGGCCGAAAGGCGUAGUCGAUGGGAAACAGGUUAAUAUUCCUGUACUUGGUGUUACUGCGAAGGGGGGACGGAGAAGGCUAUGUUAGCCGGGCGACGGUUGUCCCGGUUUAAGCAUGUAGGCUGGUUAUCCAGGCAAAUCCGGAUAAUCAAGGCUGAGGUGUGAUGACGAGGCACUACGGUGCUGAAGUAACAAAUGCCCUGCUUCCAGGAAAAGCCUCUAAGCAUCAGGUAACAUCAAAUCGUACCCCAAACCGACACAGGUGGUCAGGUAGAGAAUACCAAGGCGCUUGAGAGAACUCGGGUGAAGGAACUAGGCAAAAUGGUGCCGUAACUUCGGGAGAAGGCACGCUGGUGUGUAGGUGAAGCCCCUGCGGGUGGAGCUGAGACCAGUCGAAGAUACCAGCUGGCUGCAACUGUUUAUUAAAAACACAGCACUGUGCAAACACGAAAGUGGACGUAUACGGUGUGACGCCUGCCCGGUGCCGGAAGGUUAAUUGAUGGGGUUAUCCGUAAGGAGAAGCUCUUGAUCGAAGCCCCGGUAAACGGCGGCCGUAACUAUAACGGUCCUAAGGUAGCGAAAUUCCUUGUCGGGUAAGUUCCGACCUGCACGAAUGGCGUAAUGAUGGCCAGGCUGUCUCCACCCGAGACUCAGUGAAAUUGAACUCGCUGUGAAGAUGCAGUGUACCCGCGGCAAGACGGAAAGACCCCGUGAACCUUUACUAUAGCUUGACACUGAACAUUGAGCCUUGAUGUGUAGGAUAGGUGGGAGGCUUUGAAGCGUGGACGCCAGUCUGCGUGGAGCCAACCUUGAAAUACCACCCUUUAAUGUUUGAUGUUCUAACGUUGGCCCCUGACCGGGGUUGCGGACAGUGUCUGGUGGGUAGUUUGACUGGGGCGGUCUCCUCCCAAAGCGUAACGGAGGAGCACGAAGGUUAGCUAAUCCUGGUCGGACAUCAGGAGGUUAGUGCAAUGGCAUAAGCUAGCUUGACUGCGAGCGUGACGGCGCGAGCAGGUGCGAAAGCAGGUCAUAGUGAUCCGGUGGUUCUGAAUGGAAGGGCCAUCGCUCAACGGAUAAAAGGUACUCCGGGGAUAACAGGCUGAUACCGCCCAAGAGUUCAUAUCGACGGCGGUGUUUGGCACCUCGAUGUCGCUCAUCACAUCCUGGGGCUGAAGUAGUCCCAAGGGUAUGGCUGUUCGCCAUUUAAAGUGGUACGCGAGCUGGGUUUAGAACGUCGUGAGACAGUUCGGUCCCUAUCUGCCGUGGGCGCUGGAGAAUUGAGGGGGGCUGCUCCUAGUACGAGAGGACCGGAGUGGACGCAUCACUGGUGUUCGGGUUGUCAUGCCAAUGGCACUGCCGGUAGCUAAAUGCGGAAGAGAUAAGUGCUGAAAGCAUCUAAGCACGAAACUUGCCCCGAGAUGAGUUCUCCCUGAGACUUUAAGUCUCCUGAAGGAACGUUGAAGACGAUGACGUUGAUAGGCCGGGUGUGUAAGCGCAGCGAUGCGUUGAGCUAACCGGUACUAAUGAACCGUGAGGCUUAACCUU